rnacentral:rRNA from 1 species
GACAGAGGUGCCGAGCGUUAGGCGGAAUCACUGGGCUUAAAGCGUGUGUAGGCGGACUUCUAAGUACCUUGUGAAAUCCCACGGCUCAACCGUGGAACUGCUCGGUAUACUGGUUGUCUUGAGCCACUUAGGGGCAGUCGGAACAGACGGUGGAGCGGUGAAAUGCGUAGAUAUCGUCUGGAACACCAAUGGCGAAAGCAGCUCUCUGGGACGGUACUGACGCUGAGACGCGAAAGCGUGGGGAGCGAACAGG